rnacentral:rRNA from 1 species
AGCGAACGCUGGCGGCGUGCCUAACACAUGCAAGUCGAACGUGAACGGCUUCGGCCUAGUAAAGUGGCGUACGGGUGAGUAACGCGUAGGUAAUCUACCCCAGAAUCUGGAAUAACCUGCCGAAAGGCGGGCUAAUACUGGAUAGAGCGAUGGAAUCCGUAAUUGGGUUUUUCGGGAAAGGGGGGUCGUAAGAUCUCUCGUUUUGGGAUGAGCCUGCGUCUCAUUAGCUAGUUGGUGGGGUAAAGGCCCACCAAGGCUUUGAUGGGUAGCUGGUCUG